UAUGCGUGGUGGAGGAGCUGCAGCAGCAAGAGGACAAAAUCGAGCUCAAGUUUCAAAUGAAAUUCAGGCAACAAUUAUUGACCAUGUCAUCAAUAAUGGCUUGUGCUUUAGAGAGGCUGGACAAAGGGUCCAGCCCAUUCUGACUCGGAGCACUGUGGCAUCUAUUGUCAGGCUUUUUUGGAAUGAGAACAGGAUCCACACAUUGCCACACACUGGUGGCAGAGGAAAGAUAUUUAGUAUUGAACAGGAGUCUGCCAUUGUAGAUAUGGUAGUGGCAAACAAUGCAAUCAGACUGCGUGAAAUCCAGGCAGCAGUAAUUUAAGAUCAGGGAGCAUUUAGAAAUAUAAACCGUGUGAGUUUGGCAACUAUAGAUCGAGACCUUAAACGACACCAUGUCGGAAUGAAGCAGCUCUACCGAGUUCCAUUUCAAAGAAACUCUGACAUCGUAAAGGAGGCACGAUUCCAGUAUGUGCAGAGAAUAAUGGAGCUUGAAGCUGAAGGGGCACAUCACAAAUUCAUUUUUGUGGAUGAAGCCGGCUUCAACCUCUGUAAAGUGAGGAGAUGCGGGAGGAACAUCAUUGGGCAGAGGGCCACUGUCACAGUGCCAGGUCAGAGGGGUGCCAAUAACCCCAUGUGUGCCCCCAUCUCCAAUGAUUGGGUCCUUUGCCACAUACCAACCAUUGGCCCAUACAAUACAGAACGCCUCAUCACAUUUCUUGAUUCAUUG